ACCCCAGCAUCUAUUAACGAAGCUGUUCGCCAGAGAACUACCAGCAAAAGCUAAAAACUCAAAGGACUUGGCGGUGCUUCACACCCACCUAGAGGAGCCUGUCCAAUAAUCGAUAAACCCCGAUAAACCUCACCACCAU
rnacentral:rRNA from 1 species